rnacentral:rRNA from 1 species
AACGAACGCUGGCGGCGUGCCUAACACAUGCAAGUCGAACGAGAAGUACGUAGCAAUACGUAUUGUAAAGUGGCGCACGGGUGAGUAACACGUGGGUAAUCUGCCCUCGAGUUUGGGAUAACCCCGCGAAAGCGGGGCUAAUACCGAAUAAGACCACGGGGACCAAAGUCCCUGAGGUAAAAGGUGGCCUCUAUUUAUAAGCUACCACUUGAGGAUGAGCCCGCGGCCCAUUAGCUAGUUGGCAGGGUAACGGCCUACCAAGGCGAUGAUGGGUAGCUGGUCUGAGAGGACGAUCAGCAACACUGGAACUGAGACACGGUCCAGACUCCUACGGGAGGCAGCAGUGGGGAAUAUUGUGCAAUGGGCGAAAGCCUGACGCAGCAACGCCGCGUGGGGGAUGAAGGUUUUCGGAUUGUAAACCCCUUUCGACCGGAACGAAUCUCCUCUUGGUAAAUAAUCAGGAGGAUCGACGGUACCGGGAGAAGAAGCCACGGCUAACUCUGUGCCAGCCGCCGCCGUAAUAC